rnacentral:lncRNA from 1 species
CCCUUUGCCAAGAACCCCACUGAACAGGAAGAGGUAUUUCUUGGGGAUGCUACCAAGGCAGAGACUGUGAAGAAGGAAGAACGUUGCUUGGGCAAAAGGAGCAUAUUCUCAGGAGACGGGGCCCCUGCCUGCCACACCAAGCAUUAGGCCACCAGGAAGACCCCCAUCUGCAAGCAAGCCUAGCCUUCCAGGGAGAAAGAGGCCCCUGCAGCUCCUUCAUCAUGAACUGGCACAUGAUCAUCUCUGGGCUUAUUGUGGUAGUGCUUAAAGUUGUUGGAAUGACCUUAUUUCUACUUUAUUUCCCACAGAUUUUUAACAAAAGUAACGAUGGUUUCACCACCACCAGGAGCUAUGGAACAGAAGUUUCUUCAGGACAUAACUGAUGCUGAGAAGUAUUUUAUUGGCUUAAUUUACCAUCGUGAAGAGAAAAGGUGGCGUUGGAUCAACAACUCUGUGUUCAAUGGCAAUGUUACCAAUCAGAAUCAGAAUUUCAACUGUGCGACCAUUGGCCUAACAAAGACAUUUGAUGCUGCAUCAUGUGACAUCAGCUACCGCAGGAUCUGUGAGAAGAAUGCCAAAUGAUCACAGUUCCCUGUGACAAGAACUAUACUUGCAACUCUUUUUGAAUCCAUACAGGUCGUCUGGCCAAUGAUUCUUUUACUUACCUAUCUGUCUACCAGUAGCGGUCCUUGCCCAUUUGGGAAACUGAGCUUCUUUCUUCUGCACUGGGGGACUGGAUGCUAGCCAUCUCCAGGAGACAGGAUCAGUUUUACGGAAACAACUCAGUUAGUAUAGAGAUGAGGUCCGCUUCUGUAGUACUGAGCAUUUCUGACUGAUCAAAAAGGCCUAGUCUGUUGACAGGGUUUGUUUUAUUUUAGCCUCAGAGUAUACCAUACUACUAGGGAGUAACUGUAGAGUGAGAAAUUAUAAACAUUAUUUAGGGAUUACCAUGGUGGAAGAGGGAUAAACAUAGGUCCUGUGACUUCGUCUCUGUUCUCAAGGGAACCCCAUUCACAUGCCCCUCCUAACUCCACAAGCGAGGGUAGCAGAGGCUCUCCUCAGUCUGAACUAAGGCUUGGCCUUGGGGAGGGCUCCUAGUGCUGAGCUUGGAGCAGCACGGACAGCAGCAUUGUUUAUGGGAAUGGAGAGAGGUCUGGGCAGGAUAGGAACCUUCUUGGAGACCCCUUUGAAGAAAACCAGGCAGCCAAGGGAGCCAAACACACUAGAUUUCUGUUCUUCAGCAAAGCCCUGAAGAGACACUUAAGCUAAAAAUUCCCUUGUCAUAUUUCUGAAACUCCAUUAUAACAUAUGUAACUCCUUUGUAACCAAAAUUUAGGUAAGCAGGCUUCCUUUGCUCUGAAGGUUUUGAGUACCUGGCUGUAUUUGUUGAGUAUUUUUAAAAUUUUGGAUAGUCUCUUAGGCAACAAUAAUCACAAUAUAUUCAUCCCUUCAGUUCUGGAGAAAGCCUGAUACCAGGCACAGCCUACUGACCCCAAGGAGCCUGGCACUGAUUGGCAUCACAUUGAUCUAGAACUGGUCCAGCCGACGAAGAGUA